rnacentral:rRNA from 1 species
GACGAACGCUGGCGGCGUGCCUAAUGCAUGCAAGUCGAACGAGAGCAACCGGUGCUUGCACUGGUCAAUCUAGUGGCGAACGGGUGAGUAACACGUGGGUAACCUGCCCAUCAGAGGGGGAUAACAUCCGGAAACGGAUGCUAAAACCGCAUAGGUCUUCGAACCGCAUGGUUUGAAGAGGAAAAGAGGCGCAAGCUUCUGCUGAUGGAUGGACCCGCGGUGCAUUAGCUAGUUGGUGAGGUAACGGCUCACCAAGGCCGUGAUGCAUAGCCGACCUGAGAGGGUGAUCGGCCACAUUGGGACUGAGACACGGCCCAAACUCCUACGGGAGGCAGCAGUAGGGAAUCUUCCGCAAUGGACGCAAGUCUGACGGAGCAACGCCGCGUGAGUGAAGAAGGUUUUCGGAUCGUAAAACUCUGUUGUUAGAGAAGAACAAGUGCUAGAGUAACUGUUAGCGCCUUGACGGUAUCUAACCAGAAAGCCACGGCUAACUACG